ACAGCCCAGCCUAACAGGAGCUCAAUGACGGCAUCAUAAGAUAAUUACCCUUUAAGUGCUGACUGCACAUCCCUACAGCAUCAGCCUUGGGAUAAUGGUGAAGAAGUGUUAGAGGAAUACAUAAUUUCAAUGAUGAGCUGCAGCAAUAUGCCUGCAGUAAAAAAUACAAUGAAGCUGGACCUCAGAAAAAAAUGAGAUUGUAUUCUAGGUGAUCCUUCUGCAGCUGUAUGUAUAUAUAGCAGACAAGAGUAAGAUUCACCAGCAUGAAGACAAGCAACAGAGGCACUUU
rnacentral:lncRNA from 1 species